GGAGCCAGUUUUUAGGAAGCUGCCAAGCGUUCUCAACUGCUGGCUGCAGACUUUUGUCUGCUUCUUUAGAUAUUAUGUCACACUGUACAAUCCUGAUACUGGCGCUCCUAAUAGCCAGUACAUCAUCAGCCCCCACCAACCGGCUCCUCAUGAGCUUGGUCUCAGGAGUCACCACCGGGCUAGAGGUGCCCACUGCCGUGGUCGCAGGCACGGGCGCCGGAACCGGGUCGUUACAACUAGUGGUGAAUGUACAUACGGAUAGUCAUGGAAAUAUCGAAGUUUUUACGAAUUAAAGUUAUGUGUUAAUGUGUGUGUGUGGGUUUAUAUAAGCUAGUUUGUGUGUGUGAAGAAAUGUCAAGUGGAUAGAAAUGGUGAUUUGAAAAUACCCUGCCAAAUUGCUGAAGAUUUGAAGACGGAGACUUACAGAUAUGGACAAUAGGUGCCUAUAAUCAUACUAAAUUAUAUGUAUGUAAGACUAGGAAGAAAGUCACCAAAUAGUUACAAAAGCGAGGAAACGAAAUAUAUCUGAUAAUCAACUUCAAUUUGUAGAUAAGAGAGAUAAACUGCGCCAGAUCAUUACGAGAGCGUGUGAACGAUACUUGAUAAGAGAAACGUAAACUACAUAUAAGUACUGUUAUAUUUACCGUAAAUAACGUUUUAACUAAUGUUA